AGAAAAGAAAAAAGAAAAGAAAUGGAUAGUGGAAAUGUGAUAUACUAUGGAACAUGAUUCAGCUGUAUAAAGAAAAAUGAAAAUUUCAGAGAUUAGUGUGAUCCUCACCCUCACCAAGGAAAACUUCUGUUUGCAGCAAAUGGAGACCAUCACAGAAAACCACAACCAGUCAAAGGGAAGAGCAAGGCCAGCAAUUAGGAUACCAGUGAAGUGGUCAAGGCCAUGACAAGACUCUCCUGUGAUGAUCCUGGUACAGAAGCUUGCUGGAAGAAUAUUAAAAAGAACACAUCGAACGGUUGGACUGGUGGUUGCAGUUAUUAUGGGGAUCACUGCAUUGACAGAUACGGCAGCAGCAGCUGGAGUGGCACUUCAUAAAGAAAUCCAAACCGCUGAGUUCAUUAGAGACUGGCAGAGACAUUCAGAAGAACUUUGGACUGAACAAAAAAGAAAUUAAAGAAGCUUUUGCAAAAACAGUUACCUGAUAUGACAGGAAAGGACAUUAUGGUAAGUCUUGCAGAUACCAUAGCCUCAUUAAAUCCUGUGAAUCACUUUAAUAGAUUU